rnacentral:rRNA from 1 species
AUUGAACGCUGGCGGCAGGCUUAACACAUGCAAGUCGAGCGGGGUGAUGGUGCUUGCACUAUCACUUAGCGGCGGAUGGGUGAGUAAUGCUUAGGAAUCUGCCUAUUAGUGGGGGACAACAUCUCGAAAGGGAUGCUAAUACCGCAUACGUCCUACGGGAGAAAGCAGGGGAUCACUUGUGACCUUGCGCUAAUAGAUGAGCCUAAGUCGGAUUAGCUAGUUGGUGGGGUAAAGGCCUACCAAGGCGACGAUCUGUAGCGGGUCUGAGAGGAUGAUCCGCCCCACUGGGACUGAGACACGGCCCAGACUCCUACGGGAGGCAGCAGUGGGGAAUAUUGGACAAUGGGGGGAACCCUGAUCCAGCCAUGCCGCGUGUGUGAAGAAGGCCUUAUGGUUGUAAAGCACUUUAAGCGAGGAGGAGGCUCUUUUGGUUAAUACCCAAGAUGAGUGGACGUUACUCGCAGAAUAAGCACCGGCUAACUCUGUGCCAGCCGCCGCAGUAA